CUUAAUUUGACUCAACGCGGGGAAACUCACCAGGUCCAGACACGAUGAGGAUUGACAGAUUGAGAGCUCUUUCUUGAUUUCGUGGGUGGUGGUGCAUGGCCGUUCUUAGUUGGUGGAGUGAUUUGUCUGCUUAAUUGCGAUAACGAACGAGACCUUAACCUGCUAAAUAGCCCCUAUUACUUUGGUAGUAGGCCGGCUUCUUAGAGGGACUAUCGGCUCAAGCCGAUGGAAGUUUGAGGCAAUAA
rnacentral:rRNA from 1 species